rnacentral:snRNA from 1 species
GUGCUCACUUCAGCAGCAUAUAUACUAAAACUUCAAAUAAUACAUGCUAACUUGCAUGGCCUUGUGCAAAGAUGACAUGCAAAUUCAUGAAGCAUUCCAUAUUUUU